rnacentral:misc_RNA from 1 species
AACGCAUCUUGCGCCCCUUGGUAUUCCGAGGAGCAUGCCUGUUUGAGUGUCAUUGAAAACUCUCAAGAACCUCUUUUUUCUUGUCCCAUGUGGGCUGCAAAGAGGGGCUUGGAUUGCUGGAGCCUUGUGCAGGGUCCCCUUGUGGUUUCUGCUGCUCUGAAAUAUAUUAGUGGAAAAGCUUUCUUUCGGGCUUGUCUUCACUGGCAUUGAUAGUUGAUAUUUUCUAUGCCGUUUGGUGCAAGCAAGUUGGGGGAAAGUUUUCAGCUUCUGCUCUCCAAUUGUGCUCUUUGAUUUUUUAAAGAGCUUUUGAUCAAUUUGACCUCAAAUCAGGUAGGACUACCCGCUGAACUUAA